UGUUCUAUAAAGCUCACACCAAAUCUUAAUCAUAAAGAGUGGGAAUGAGAGAGAGAAAAAAGAAGAAGAAGAAGAAGAAAAUGGGGCUGAAAAACUUCACUGCCAUUUUUCAAAAUCAGACGACCCGUUUCCUUUCAAAGGGUAGCCAAAAAGUUCCCAUACACACCCAUUAGCGAGCUUCUUCUUUACGAAAAAAAAAACUAAAAAAAUUAGAUCAUCAUUUUCAAACCACCUUCUAGCUAGAACUGGAAACAAAAAAACAGUACAGACUCUCUCAUCAGCGCUGUCUCUUUACGCCACCCUCGAGUUACUACUAUCUUGCCCCACGUUGACUCAAGGAACCAUAGCCGCUGCUUCCACAGUACCGUUAACCUGAGGUGUUCAUUACCGGAAUCAUAACACAAGGCAGGCCAGGAGCCCACUCACGUCGUCCAUGUGCAUCUUCAGCGUGCUCGUUUUACAUUCUUGCCUCUGACCUCUCUGGACUUAGCUUUAUUCAAGCACUAGCCACUCAAAAAAAGAGUGAAGAUGAGGUACGGGAUAUCCAGUGGAGCUGUCUCCAUCAUAAUCACUCAAGGUAUAAAGCUUCCACCUAUUCUCAUGUAGUUGUAAUCUUUUUGCAUGUGCAUGCUACUGCAAAGGCAAGCUCCCGUUUUUCCUUUAUGUGCUAUGAAGUUAACAUAUAGUGUUGUAAGGUGUGUGGAUCUUUUAAGUCCUAACCUGGUCACGGGUGUUCUUUCACUUGCUACGGGUACUGAAGGGGAUGGGGUGUGAUUUUUCCUUCAAACGCAUAUGGUCUUGAAAACUUGAUUGCAUGUCCUAAGGUCAUGUUAAGACCUUGCCUAGUUAAUUAAGAAUGCUCUUACCCAAGGUUAAAGUUCAAGAACGGUAUGAGAAGGUGGAAAAAGAUGUUGACAACUAUUGGGGUCAUAGGUUUUCCUUUUUUUUUUUUUGUCUUCAGAAAAUAAAAAUGCAUAGGACUGUCAGGGAGUUUUUCCAUACCAUGCUUGGGCUUCGGAUGUAUGUUUCCUUUACGUACAUGAGAUGAUGGUUACCUUGCUUUACGUACAGAAAUCUCCAAUGACUAAAUAAAAUGAUUUUUGGUUGAAGAAGAAUCGGUAUGUGCAAGGGUUUCUGGUUCAUUUCUUUUUACUGUCCCAUGGCUUUUCGUUAAUGCUAGUACAGCUAUAUUUCUCUUUUCUAAAGUUAAGUAGGUUGAUAUAUAUAGAAAUCGGUUUAUCACGGGUUUAAGAAUAUUAAAGAAAAAAAAAAAAAAAAAGCUUUCAUGGGUCUUCAAGGCACAAACACUCAUAUGACAAAUUUUAAGUUUUCUUUUUCACUAAGGACAUGUGUGGUAAAUAUGACCAAACAUAUUUUUCAUGGCCUUUAUUUUCUUUUCUUAAUUUUUUUUUGUUUUGUCUAACAUAUCUUAGUCUAAUUUUAAUUAUUUUUCAAGUUUUGAAGAGCCAUUUUGCAACUAUAUUUUUGGUUUUCCACGUCAUUUUUUACCUUUUCAUAUUUAAAAACAAGUUUAUUAAAUCCACAGGGAUUUGGCCUAAGUUUUAAAAAUACUAAAAAAAUUAAUUUGUUUAUUUUAAUACAAUGAAUUAUGAGCUUAUAUCUAAAAUGUAUUCUCGAUAUUAAAAGGAACAAAUGCAAAAAUAUGUUUUGGCUCUAGAAUGGCUAGACUUGACCCAUAAAGCCAUGGUUCUCUGUACUAGGGUAGACCUUCUUUAACUAAUAGACAAAUCAAUGAUUAGAUAAAGAAAACAGUGCCUUAGUAAUAAUCAGAAAAAUAAACAAUAAAGCUUAUCUUAGGUAUGAUUACUAAGGGUGAUAAUGUCCAUCCUAUAUACAACUUGUCCCCUUGUCUAGACUCUGAAGACUAGUUAGAGUUUUCAGUGAUCAAAAUACAAGAUAGCAACUCCAAGCAUUUUUUAUUUAUAAAGGACAAGAAGUCCAUGUUCUUUCCACACCACACCAAAGUCCUGAUCUAGGAGGAUGAUCGCAAUGAUACCACAUCCGUGCCACAUUCAACAUUGUAUUUUCCAUGAGUUAUCCUUUCUAUUUUUCAAUUACUUUGAUCCAAAUAAUGUGUUACCCUCUCAACAUUCUUCAAAGUCAACAUGUACUUCUACUAAUUGAUCUAAAUAUGAAUGUGAUGCGAUGUAAAUGAGUAUACAAGAUUAAACAUAUGGAAGAUGGGACUUUUUAGCACUACAAAACAUGUUUGGUGGCCAAAUGCUAUUAUCGACAAAAAAGGGUUUGAUUUUCAAGAGAUAUUUAGUGUAGUGAGGAAGCCUUGCACUAUUUAGACAAUGCUCGAUAUUGGUGAUACUUGAGGUUGGUCGGCUUAUUAGAGGGAUUUCUUCAUUUAGAUGUGUUUAUAACCCAAGCCAGGUUGUUAAAAUCGCGAGUUAUGAGUCAACAUGUAUCUAACGUGCUAAAUCGGACUAAAAACUCAAAAAUAGUAAAAUCAGACUUGUGCAAAAUCAGUAAAAUCGGUAAACUCAGUCCGAUUUUAUGAGUUUACUAAAUUUGUGAUAUGAAUCAAGUCAGGUUCAAAUUUGGCCUUAAAAUAUCUGCUGACUAGUUUUGCGAGAUUGAGCAUAUAUUUCAAACUGUAUAUUGGAUAAAACUGAUAUUUUACAGGAAAAUAUUAGAUACAUAAACAUAUAUUGUGGUAAAUUGUUAGGUCAAAUAGAGUUAGGAAACAUAAUUUUAGAGGGUCAAAGUUAGUAAACUAAUAUUGUCAAAUAUGUCAAACAAGUCCUUCGUGUACUGUUUGGAACAUAUCCAGAGCUACCGGUGGAAUUUUGCUUCAAUUAAAGUUGGGAUAGAAACUAGACAUCUGAAACUUUCCAACUAUAUACGUAGGCCCAAGAAUUCAUCCAAACAAGAGAGAAUGACAUGUUUGAAAUCAGGACUCAAAUCUACCAAGAAUAUGCAAAAAAUAGAAGAUUCAGGUUACAUGGAUGAAUUUUAACAUGAAGACUUUUUUAUUAUUCUAUUUUAUUUAUUUAAUUUUAAAUAAUUAUUUUUAAUUUGAAUUUUUUCUAGCGCAUUAGACAUUGUUUAGGAAUUUGUUUUAUUAUUGAAUUUAUGUUAGUUAAUUACUAAUUUAAACUUAUUAGCUUGCAACCCAAAAGGGGUCUAUCAAGACUUAUUGUGAUAGGAACAACCAGGUUGUCACUAGGUUUAUGUGUGCUUCCUACCUUUCAGUGAUUCCCUUGUAUUGAAAAAUUUUGUUCUGUGACUUUUUAUUUCUCCAUGUCAUUAAUUUAUUGAUUCAUACUAUCUAUCUCUCUCAUUUUAUUUAGAUCGCUCAUUGAUUAUAAUAUUGUUGACUCAUUUUAUUAGAUUUUAAUGUAAUUUAAUUUCUUGACUAAAAUUAUCAAUAUAUAAUUAGUUAAAAAAUUAUUUAUGAUUUUACGAUUUUACGAUCUGAGUUUAUUUUAUAUUUUUCGUGUCGUGUCAAAAAAUAUUUUUGACAACCUUGAACCCAGGCUCUUGACUUUAUUGAUCCACAAUCCCCAAACCAUAUUCGCAAACUAAAACUUUUUUUUUAUAGUUUAAAACAAGCACCUCGUGCAUGUAUUGAUUGCUUAGUGAAUUCUUAGUUUCUCAAUGGAUUUUAUAUUCGUAAAUUUUUAAGUGAACCCAGGUUAUAUUAUCAUGAUAACUAAAAUAAAAUGAGCUAAAUUUAUUUAUAAAAUGAGCACCACACGCUUAGAUUUAAAUUCCAUAGAAAGAUUAGCACCUGAUGACAAGUUAACUCGGGAAACAAAGGUAAUAACAAAGUUUUGAGAUUGAAUUCGACACUAGGUCUACUUAGUAGUUAGUACAUAUAAGUUGAAGGAUUGCUACCUUGACCAAUGAACUGAAAAUAUCUUUAAUUUAUAAUGAAUGGCAUACACCAUACAGUUUUACCAUAUCAACAGCAUGAAAAUUGAUAAUCGAUCCUUUAGGGAUAUUAUUCCAUUUCUUUAUUAAUUAUCAUAAAAACAUUUAUUAAAUGUGUUGUCCUCCAACUCUUUCCAUAAAAAGAAAGAGUUGUGAACCACAACAUACAUUUGAUCAUGGACAAAAGGUAAUCAAAUAGUUGCCUCCACUAGGACAAGUAAACGUGCUCGAUUUAUCAUCAAAAGCAUAACUAUAAGCUUGAGGACACUGCUGCUUGAAAGUCAUCGAAUAUUGGGUAGGAGGACAUGUUUCAGCUGUAUUAUACU
rnacentral:lncRNA from 1 species